rnacentral:lncRNA from 1 species
UAUGUAUUGAAUUAAAUUUAUACCUGAUUUAACUUUAGAAAUUAGAAACUUUCAUAUAUCAGUCAUGAAAGUACAAAUGUAGCCCUAUCUUUUGCAACAAUAAAAACAUAGGGUCAUGCAGCAUUUUUGGGUAUUCACAUGGCCUUGUUUACAAACAAUGUAGAUUCGCACUGAAUUCCUAUACUGACCCAAAUUACUUUUCAACUUUGUAGUAAAAAAAAUCAAUACAUUCAGCACAAUGAGCACAUGACUUCAGUUUUACACAGAAAGCUCUUCCCCAAAUGGGCGGUCCUUGAUGAUGUAUAUUUAUUUACUGAAUUUGCCCCUUGAGAAGUAACAUGAAAUUUUGGUGAUUGGUUUAUAUCUAUAAAGAUAGCCUCCCUUUAGUUUUUCAUGAAUUUCUUAUAUGACAUUUUUUAAACCAUGGGCGUAUCAUGCUCUCUUGGCACAGCUGUUUAUUUUAAAUAUGGUCCCAAAAGAUUUGUAUACACAAGGUGUUAUUGUCACAGAUACUCUAAAAAGUAGUCUGUUGGGUAACUCAUAAAAUGGUCAAAUCAAAAUGACUGCAAUAUGGUCAAAUAAAAUUUGGUGGAAAAUAAAAGUAAAAUGUAUUUUACAGUGAACCUAACAAAAGUUUCAUAGAUGACAUUUAUAUUCUAAGAAUAUACCGGCAUACAAUAUUUCAAGGCAGAUAUAUUUCAAUUUUUACGAGAUACAUUAUUAUAUGUUGCACCAUGAAUAAAACUUUCACUUGUUUAAAUACUGUUUUCUACACACAGGAGUAAAGGGGGCUCGCGGGUAUAAAUCAUUUUUUUUAAAAUAAAGGAUUUCACUAUAUUUGUCUAUAAAUGAACUUUAUCAUAUACUAAAUAGAAAAAUAAAAUAAAAUAAUUGGGUCACUGUUCAUUUUGGCUCACAAUUUGCCUUCGAAAAAA